rnacentral:rRNA from 1 species
GACAGAGGGUGCAAGCGUUGUUCGGAAUUACUGGGCGUAAAGCGUGCGUAGGUGGUUCGUUAAGUCUGAUGUGAAAGCCCUGGGCUCAACCUGGGAAUGGCAUUGGAUACUGGCGACCUAGAGUGCGGUAGAGGGGUGUGGAAUUCCCGGUGUAGUAGUGAAAUGCGUAGAUAUCGGGAGGAACAUCUGUGGCGAAGGCGACACCCUGGACCAGCACUGACACUGAGGCACGAAAGCGUGGGGAGCAAACAGG